UACGGAGGGUGCAAGCGUUGUCCGGAUUUAUUGGGUUUAAAGGGUGCGUAGGUGGCCCGUUAAGUCCGGGGUGAAAGCCCACUGCUCAACAGUGGAACUGCCCUGGAUACUGGCGGGCUUGAGUCCAGACGAGGUUGGCGGAAUGGAUGGUGUAGCGGUGAAAUGCAUAGAUAGCUUCCAGAACCCCGAUUGCGUAGGCAGCUGACUAGGCUGGUACUGACACUGAGGCACGAAAGCGUGGGGAGCGAACAGG
rnacentral:rRNA from 1 species